UUGGCAGUAGAUUACAAUAAUUUAAUGUUCUUCGCAUUCCAUGCUACCAAUAAUUAUGGAAGAUGUACGAGUUAAAUGACAGAUCAAUUGUGUGCAAGAAACUUCACACUCGCCGAGCAUAUGAAGUAGUUAUUUACAACUAAGAAAGCUAACCUUUUCCGUAAUGAUAAGAGAGGGACGCAUAUCUAAUCAACACACUACAAACUCAUCUAUAUGUUAAAAAUUUUCUUGAGUUCAGCAAUGGUAUCGUCAGGAUUAGUAACAGAAUGUCCGAUAGUACGAGGGUCGACAAAAAUUUCAUAAUCAUUGCCGCCUUUGUAUGUCUUGUCUCCAAAAAAGUGAAUUGUAUCAAAUCCCUCUUUCUCUACGUGUUGCAAGCAAUAUGUCUUAUCCCAACCAGCAGGGAACACAUCAAAAGAGAUUUGACCUCCAAUGGAAAAUGUCAAUCCAUAAUCCUUGAAUUUUUCGCGAAGAACAUCGACCAUGGUAGCGCGAAUUUUACGACCCUUAUCAAAACGUUCAAAUUCAUUGCGUUCCUCAGUAUUGGCAUUGCGUCCUACAGGAGAUAUGUUGAUCAUACCGUUGCGGAAUUCAAUGAAAGUACCACGCUUCACGGGAAUAUCCAGAUCAGCAAUGUAAUGUAAGCAGAAAUUAACCAGUUUUUGGUAUUUUUCUUCUCCCAACCAGGCGAUGAAUGACUGACUAGCUAAUUGCUGUCCAUAACGAUAAGCAGUUAAUCCGUUUUCAGCAAACGCAUAAUCAAAAGAAUCAAUUACGUUUUCACCGUUGACACUCAGUUGCUCUUGUUGCUUGCUCAAAUCACUACCGCCUACGAAGCCGAUAGCGACAACCUUGCGAAGAUUUUGCAAAGUUUCGAGCAUUUCAGGGGAGACACUCUUUAAAAUGUUAGUCUUGUUAUUACAAAAUGGAAAGAGAAAUAAACUAGGUCAUAGAGCAUGAAUAGCUUGCUCCCGAAAUAUUUUGGAUAAUUAAAACUUCCUUUCAAGCCAUCUCUGAUUAAAUAAUGGUGAUGACCAUAGAGAAUGUGAUUGGAAAAUAGGAAAUUUGAUACAAGCCGGCUAUUCAGAUUGAAUCCAAGAAAGCUCGACUGCAAUAAUCUAAACUUACCAAACGUGCAGGAGUGAGCGUUCCAUCAACGUCAAAUAAAACUAGGGUCUUAGGAAAUUUACGCUCUUCAAUAGGGAUAACUGCCAUUUUGAGAAUUUGGUCGAAGGUAAGUGCAACUGGUAGUGGUAUGGUGGUAACGCGUCGAUGAAGCCCCCUCGAUCAAGGUAAACAAUAAGCCCCCUUCUACCUUCAAAGCAUUAGACACUCUUACAACAAAAUUUUAUAGCAAAAACAUUCAUAGGAAGGUAUAUUAUAUUAGCUCUACAAUAUCAUAAAUGUUGAUUUCAGGUACCCUUGUGUCGUAGGAAUUUGAAUUAAUCAAUCGG